UACGAAGGGGGCUAGCGUUGCUCGGAAUUACUGGGCGUAAAGCGCACGUAGGCGGAUCUUUAAGUCAGGGGUGAAAUCCUGGAGCUCAACUCCAGAACUGCCUUUGAUACUGAGGACCUUGAGUUCGGGAGAGGUGAGUGGAACUGCGAGUGUAGAGGUGAAAUUCGUAGAUAUUCGCAAGAACACCAGUGGCGAAGGCGGCUCACUGGCCCGAUACUGACGCUGAGGUGCGAAAGCGUGGGGAGCAAACAGGGAU
rnacentral:rRNA from 1 species